GAUGAACGCUGGCGGCGUGCCUAACACAUUCAAGUCGAACGGGGAGAUUGUAGCAAUACGGUCUCCUAGUGGCGAACGGGUGAGUAACGCGUUGGUGACCUGCCCCGAAGUGAGGGAUAACAGUUCGAAAGGACUGCUAAUACCGCAUGUGGUUGGAGAGAUUAGAAGCUUUCUAACUGAAGGAGCGAUCCGCUUCGGGAGGGGCCUGCGACCCAUCAGCUAGUUGGUAGGGUAAAGGCCUACCAAGGCGACGACGGGUAGGGGACCUGAGAGGGUGACCCCCCACACUGGCACUGAAACACGGGCCAGACACCUACGGGUGGCAGCAGUAGGGAAUAUUGCACAAUGGGCGCAAGCCUGAUGCAGCAACGCCGCGUGCGCGAUGAAGGCCUUCGGGUCGUAAAGUGCUUUUCUGGAGGAAGAGCAAGGACGGUACUUCAGGAAGAAGGAUCGGCUAACUACGUGCCAGCAGCCGCCGUAAUAC
rnacentral:rRNA from 1 species